rnacentral:lncRNA from 1 species
AAAAGUGUUGACAGGCAGAGACACACGAAUCUCAUAAAUAUUAUUAAAAAAAAUUCGUUGACAGGGAGAGACACACGAAUAUCAUAUAUAUUAUUGAAAAAAAAAAAAUCAUUGUCUGUAUCGUCUAUACAGAAUCGUAUGCAUAACUGAAAGUCUGAAACAACUGAUCUGGCUUUUAUAAAAAUAGAAGAUAAUAUUAUUUCUGUGGCACCUGUACCCAGCUAUAAGUAGUGGUAGUUGCAUGGAAGCUCAAGUCACCACAAUUACACCAUAUCCCCAGAUGGACUUGGCUGCAGGUCUUGGAUGCUGCAUCAUCAGUUAGAUCAUUUGGAUUAUUAACAAUGAUAUGUUUUUAUUAGCUGAAUUGAUAACUCUCCAAGCCGCGUCUGUAAGGCUAACAUUUGGAUUAUAACUGCUAGACAAGAAUAAAAAGAAAAAAACAGAGUUAAAAAAAAGUUGAUAUAAUGAACCUUGUGGUCAAAUGUCAGAUCUGACUUCUUCAAACGAACUAAAGGCCAGCAAUGAAAAUUUCACAUAAAAAGCAACUAGACUAACUUCAAGAUAGCUUAAAUUAAAAGUUUUCUGACUCAUUCAGCAGAGACGCCAACAAUUUCCGAAACUUUUUGUUGGACCUCACGUUUAUAAAUUCUCAAAUCUUCCUACACCAAUCUGACAACAUCACGGAAAGCAAGCAACACCACAUUUAAUUGUCUUUAAGUUACAAAAAAAGCUUCAAGCUCUGCUGAUGCCAGGAUAUAAUGAGAAACCAAUCAUAGAACAUGUCAUAAGCAAGGGCACAAGCAGAGGAAAGAUCUCCAAUGCUUCAGUGUGAUGAUAAUCACCGUGAAACAAUAUCAACAGAUAUGAUCUAGUGAUAAAUGAAGUAUAACAACCUUCAAAUGAAAUUAAUAAACAGCGACAGAACGAUAUAAAACAAAUAACUUCAUAAAGAAAGAGUUUACAUUUUUGUUGGAAAUCUGAUUACCGUUCUUUCAUUUGUAUGUAAAGUCUCUGAAAUUCCCUAGUCAUGCCCAAAUAAAUUCUCUUAUAUAUAUGAUGAAUAAUGCUGUUAAAAGAAGCUCCUGAACUUAGAAUUACUUCCACUUCUUUAAAUUCUUAGUUAUAAUAAGGCAAGAGGGAGUUUUGGUAUUUUUAGUGAGAUAUAGAAAAGUAUUUACCCUCAUUUUAUCUUGCAACUUCAAAACCUGGAAAGUCUCUCUCAAAACAUGAAUUUAGACGAAUGAACUUCAACCAAAAGGAUUUUCUUACAAAAGCUAAAAAAAUGCAACAGCAUAGUGAAAAUGGGAAAAUGAAAAUAUAAAGCAGAAGAAAAAGUUUCCAUCGGAUAAGACAAAAACAGAAAAUCCAAGUUCAAAAAGUUUCCAUCAGAUAAGACAAAUACAGAAAAUCCAAGUUUUUAUUUGCCAUGCCAAUAUUAUUCAUGCAGAAUUACUCUAAUUUAUUUUUCAGUGAAGGUUAGUAACAAUUUAUCUGUAAAUAACUGAACCAACUUGGUUAUUACCACAUUACUCUUUCUCUUCUACACUCAUUUUCUGCAUAGUUGCGGUUCAUCAACGACCACAUUCACAAACACGAGUCCACUCUCCCCGGCCCCUUCACUUAUUUCCCCAACCUUAAGGUCUCUCAAAGUGCAGCAGCAAGACAUGAACUCCUAUCAAUAGAAAGCAAUAUUAAGCCCUCCUAAAAAAUCCAACACCCAUUUGGCUAGAAAAACCCCAUAACUCAUUGCCACACUCUCUAUUUUCACCCCUUUCAUCAAAACACAAGCAUUACUUACCCAUGUCCAGACAUAAUUUCGUUUUCUGAUAUCACGUCAUUCAGGGGGAAAAAAGCAAUUAAAGGAUUUCAGUACAUAAAUUACAACAAGCUGUCAAUUCGCAAAAACAAGGAAAAUUAGCUCAAUCGAGUGAAGUAGGCCUACAAAAUGACCUCAAUGAGACAUCAGAUACCUCAAAAAUCGAAUCAAAUUCAGUUACACUAAGAAUCACUCAUCAAUAUGAAUAACAGAAAGAAAUUUCUCAUAAAAUUCAAUACAAAUAAAAAAAAAAAAGCUAAUCAUCCUUUUUUGGUUUAGUGACUUCGUCAGAAAAUAAGACGAAAUAGAAAUUCUGAAAUUUACUUAGGGUUUCUAGGUUUGAAAAUUUACCUUACGAGAAGCCAGGCUCUCUGUUUCUAGCUUUGUAACGUUACUAUCAUGGCGAUCGACGCCGAUCAGCUGAGAUGAUCGGAUUUCUCGCCGGCGACGACGCAGAUGUUUGGAUUUGGGUUUGACGAUGGACGAAGGAAUGUUUAGGGGUCCUGGCUGAUUUUGGGAUUUAUUGAAUUGAAAGACCAAAAUAACCUUUAAAAAUUUACACAUGUAAUAUUCGGGGUAGUUAAACAGUUAAUUUUUUUUUUCAACCAUAAAAACAGAAUAUAAAUCUACAUACAGAAUUU